rnacentral:misc_RNA from 1 species
AAGUCGUAACAAGGUUUCCGUAGGUGAACCUGCGGAAGGAUCAUUACCAAAUCCAAAAAAAAACUUUAUCAACACCCCAAUGUGAACUGAGAAUGGUUUCGUUCCCUCGGUUGGGCAACCUACUGAGGGAAUGUCUAUUUUUCAACCCCUUUACAACUAUACAACCCAUUUUUUAUGCUGAAAGCAAAAACAAAAAACGAAACAUGAGACAACUUUUAACGGUGGAUCUCUUGGCUCGU